rnacentral:rRNA from 1 species
AUGGCCACUUCUCCAGCUUGCGGGCUCUGCGAUGAGGAAGUGGAUACAUGGCGUCAUUCCUUGUUUGAAUGCCGGAUGGCACGAUGUGUUUGGGUGUUGGGAGAUGAGGAGACCCUGGAGCAUGUGAUAUCAAACAUGAGUGAAGAUGCAAGGCUUUGGUUGUGUUGGCUUUUUGACACGAUGAACCAACAGGACCUUGCCAGGGUGCUCAUCACCAUGUGGGCGAUCUGGUGGGCUAGGAGGAGAGCAAUUCACGAUGACGAAUUCCAAAUCCCUCUUUCUACAAUGUGUUUUGUGAACAGAUACUUGGAGGACCUGGAGAUCGCUGCCAAGCGUGCACCAAAGCGACCCUUACAGCCGGUGAUACAAAGGCCGCACAGGUGGAUCCCGCCGGGAGAGGAAGCGAUGAAGAUCAAUGUAGACAGGGCUAUCUCUCGCCAAGGAAGAACAGGUGCAUCGGCUGCGGUGUGUCGGGACAAAGAAGGCAACUACCUGGGAUCUUCAGCGGUGGUUUUUGAAGGUCUAGUCGACGCCCCAAGCUUGGAAGCUCAAGCGUGCAACGAGGCGCUUGCCCUGGCUCAAGAUCUAUUGCUGACACAUGUGAUAAUAGCCUUGGAUUGCAUGCAGGUUGUUUCGGAUAUUAAGGGGGUGGCGUCUUCUUCCUCUUAUACUUUUGUAAUUGAAGAGAUUAAAGCUAGAGUUACAGACUUUGUAGGAGUUAAGUUUCGUUUUGAAGGUAGGGAGGCAAACUUUGAGGCUCAUGCCUUGGCAAAGGCAGCCUCGUCUCUCCCUAUGGGUCACCAUCUGUGGCUAGGGAACCCGCCAGACAUUAUUUGUAUUCCUCUGGCUUUGGUUGAUCAAUAA